UGGAGAGUUUGAUCCUGGCUCAGAUUGAACGCUGGCGGCAGGCUUAACACAUGCAAGUCGAGCGGAAACGAUCCUAGCUUGCUAGGAGGCGUCGAGCGGCGGACGGGUGAGUAAUGCAUGGGAAUCUGCCCGAUAGUGGGGGACAACCUGGGGAAACUCAGGCUAAUACCGCAUACGUCCUACGGGAGAAAGCAGGGGAUCUUCGGACCUUGCGCUAUCGGAUGAGCCCAUGUCGGAUUAGCUUGUUGGUGAGGUAAUGGCUCACCAAGGCGACGAUCCGUAGCUGGUCUGAGAGGAUGAUCAGCCACACUGGGACUGAGACACGGCCCAGACUCCUACGGGAGGCAGCAGUGGGGAAUAUUGGACAAUGGGCGAAAGCCUGAUCCAGCCAUGCCGCGUGUGUGAAGAAGGCCUUCGGGUUGUAAAGCACUUUCAGCGAGGAAGAACGCCUUGGGAYUAAUACUCCCGAGGAAAGACAUCACUCGCAGAAGAAGCACCGGCUAACUCCGUGCCAGCAGCCGCGGUAAU
rnacentral:rRNA from 1 species